rnacentral:rRNA from 1 species
UGAGGAAUAUUGGUCAAUGGGCGAGAGCCUGAACCAGCCAAGUAGCGUGCAGGAUGACGGCCCUAUGGGUUGUAAACUGCUUUUAUAUGGGAAUAAAGUGAGGGACGUGUCCCUUAUUGCAUGUACCAUACGAAUAAGGACCGGCUAAUUCCGUGCCAGCAGCCGCGGUAAUACGGAAGGUCCAGGCGUUAUCCGGAUUUAUUGGGUUUAAAGGGAGCGUAGGCUGUUUGUUAAGCGUGUUGUGAAAUGUAAGAGCUCAACUUUUAGAUUGCAGCGCGAACUGGCAGACUUGAGUGCGCACAACGUAGGCGGAAUUCAUGGUGUAGCGGUGAAAUGCUUAGAUAUCAUGACGAACUCUGAUUGCGAAGGCAGCUUACGGGAGCGCAACUGACGCUAAAGCUCGAAGGUGCGGGUAUCGAACAGG